rnacentral:rRNA from 1 species
UACGUAGGGAGCAAGCGUUGUUCGGAUUUACUGGGCGUAAAGGGCGCGUAGGCGGCAAAUUAAGUCAGCUGUGAAAUCUCCGAGCUUAACUCGGAACUGUCAGCUGAUACUGAUCUGCUAGAGUGCGGAAGGGGCAAUCGGAAUUCUUGGUGUAGCGGUGAAAUGCGUAGAUAUCAAGAGGAACACCUGAGGUGAAGACGGGUUGCUGGGCCGAACACUGACGCUGAGUGCGCGAAAGCCAGGGGAGCAAACGGG